rnacentral:rRNA from 1 species
AGUGAACGCUGGCGGUAGGCCUAACACAUGCAAGUCGAACGGCAGCACAGUAAGAGCUUGCUCUUACGGGUGGCGAGUGGCGGACGGGUGAGGAAUACAUCGGAAUCUACUUUUUCGUGGGGGAUAACGUAGGGAAACUUACGCUAAUACCGCAUACGACCUACGGGUGAAAGCAGGGGAUCUUCGGACCUUGCGCGAUUGAAUGAGCCGAUGUCGGAUUAGCUAGUUGGCGGGGUAAAGGCCCACCAAGGCGACGUUCCGUAGCUGGUCUGAGAGGAUGAUCAGCCACACUGGAACUGAGACACGGUCCAGACUCCUACGGGAGGCAGCAGUGGGGAAUAUUGGACAAUGGGCGCAAGCCUGAUCCAGCCAUACCGCGUGGGUGAAGAAGGCCUUCGGGUUGUAAAGCCCUUUUGUUGGGAAAGAAAAGCAGCAGGUUAAUACCCCGCUGUUCUGACGGUACCCAAAGAAUAGGCACCGGCUAACUUCGUG